rnacentral:rRNA from 1 species
CGUGGGGAACCUGCCCCAUAGUCUGGGAUACCACUUGGAAACAGGUGCUAAUACCGGAUAAGAAAGCAGAUCGCAUGAUCAGCUUUUAAAAGGCGGCGUAAGCUGUCGCUAUGGGAUGGCCCCGCGGUGCAUUAGCUAGUUGGUAAGGUAAAGGCUUACCAAGGCGAUGAUGCAUAGCCAGUUGAGAGACUGAUCGGCCACAUUGGGACUGAGACACGGCCCAAACUCCUACGGGAGGCAGCAGCC